rnacentral:rRNA from 1 species
UACGGGGGGAGCAAGCGUUGUUCGGAUUUACUGGGCGUAAAGGGCGCGUAGGCGGUCGUGCCAAGUCACUUGUGAAAUCUCCGGGCUUAACUCGGAACGGUCAAGUGAUACUGUCGGACUAGAGUACAGAAGGGGCAACUGGAAUUCUCGGUGUAGCGGUGAAAUGCGCAGAUAUCAGGAGGAACACCGGUGGCGAAGGCGGGUCUCUGGGCCAUAACUGACGCUGAGGAGCGAAAGCGUGGGGAGCGAACAGG